rnacentral:rRNA from 1 species
GACGAACGCUGGCGGCGUGCUUAACACAUGCAAGUCGAACGGAAAGGCCCUGCUUUUGUGGGGUGCUCGAGUGGCGAACGGGUGAGUAACACGUGAGUAACCUGCCCUUGACUUUGGGAUAACUUCAGGAAACUGGGGCUAAUACCGGAUAGGAGCUCCUGCGGAAUGGUGGGGGUUGGAAAGUUUCGGCGGUUGGGGAUGGACUCGCGGCUUAUCAGCUUGUUGGUGGGGUAGUGGCUUACCAAGGCUUUGACGGGUAGCCGGCCUGAGAGGGUGACCGGCCACAUUGGGACUGAGAUACGGCCCAGACUCCUACGGGAGGCAGCAGUGGGGAAUAUUGCACAAUGGGCGGAAGCCUGAUGCAGCAACGCCGCGUGCGGGAUGACGGCCUUCGGGUUGUAAACCGCUUUCGCCUGUGACGAAGCGUGAGUGACGGUAAUGGGUAAAGAAGCACCGGCUAACUACGUG